UACGAAGGGGGCUAGCGUUGCUCGGAAUUACUGGGCGUAAAGGGCGCGUAGGCGGAUAUUUAAGUUAGAGGUGAAAGCCCAGGGCUCAACCCUGGAAUAGCCUUUAAUACUGGAUAUCUUGAGUUCGGGAGAGGUGAGUGGAACUCCGAGUGUAGAGGUGAAAUUCGUAGAUAUUCGGAAGAACACCAGUGGCGAAGGCGACUCACUGGCCCGAUACUGACGCUGAGACGCGAAAGCGUGGGGAGCAAACAGG
rnacentral:rRNA from 1 species